rnacentral:rRNA from 1 species
GUGGGGAAUAUUGGACAAUGGGCGAAAGCCUGAUCCAGCCAUGCCGCGUGUGUGAAGAAGGUCUUCGGAUUGUAAAGCACUUUAAGUUGGGAGGAAGGGCAGUAAGUUAAUACCUUGCUGUUUUGACGUUACCGACAGAAUAAGCACCGGCUAACUUCGUGCCAGCAGCCGCGGUAAUACGAAGGGUGCAAGCGUUAAUCGGAAUUACUGGGCGUAACGCGCGCGUAGGUGGUUUUGUAAGUUGGAGGUGAAAUCCCAGGGCUCAAACUGGGAACUGCCUCCAAAACUUCAUGACUAGAGUACGGUAGAGGGUAGUGGAAUUUCCUGUGUAGCGGUGAAAUGCGUAGAUAUAGGAAGGAACACCAGUGGCGAAGGCGACUACCUGGACUGAUACUGACACUGAGGUGCGAAAGCGUGGGGAGCAAACAGGAUUAGAAACCCGUGUAGUCC